rnacentral:lncRNA from 1 species
AAACAAUGGUUGCUUGAUGCUUUUACAUCUCCCUCUCGUCCAAUACGUAACAACUGGCGACGAGAACGAACCAUAGCAACAAAGAACAUUACACAAUAUGAAACAAACGUAUAGACAUUGGUAAAAUCGAAGCAAAUACUGAACAUUUGCAUGAUAAUAGCUAAAUACCGAAUUGAUUGUCCCGAUUCUUUGUUCGACUCCACGUGAUUCCAAACAAAGGAAUCUGCGGUACAUCACAUAAAUCAUGCCAGCAUUUGGUUUGAUAGGAAAAAUUGACCCAUUUGAUGAAACAAUUGAACCCUGGGACUCGUAUUUUGAACGAUUAGACCAAUAUUUUGUCGCAAAUGAAAUCGACGGAAACAAAAAGGUUCCUGCCCUACUUUGCCUGAUAGGGGGAAACUAUACUCGUUGUUGAGGGACCUGACAUUUCCUGACAAACCAUCAGAGAAAAGAUUCGACGUAUUAGUCAAGCUAUUAAAGGAUCAUUUAGCUCCCAAACCGCUACAAGCAUCAGAACGAUUCAGAUUUGAUAAAAGGGACCAAAAAGAGGGGGAAUCAAUACAAGACUAUGUUGCACAAUUACGAAAACUCUCACUGCAUUGUGGUUUUAAUGCAGACCUCAAAGAAAAGUUAAGAGACAGGAUAGUUUGUGGCCUUAAAAACCCGAACAUUCGGAACAGGUUAUUGUCAGAAAAAGACUUGACAUAUGAUAAAGCAGUAGAUAUUGGUGUGGCUAUGGAGACCGCAUCCAAAGAUGCAACUAAAUUGCAAGCAAAACAUAGAACUGAGGGGGUAAACAAAAUGAGUGCAAGAAAAUCUAACUUUCAACC